UAGAUUACUAGUUUAUCAAAAUCUGUAUAAAUAUAAUAUAAUUUAAUUUAUAUUAUGUCUAUCUGAGUAAAGAGUAGUUGUUCUAUAAGAAGAAAAAUAAAUAAUAGUCUUGAUAGUAUUAAUUUAUGCCAAGUCAAAUCGAGUUAUAAUUCCACCAAUUAUCAUGAUUUAACUCAGCCUGCUCCUAGCUCUGGUGUAUCAACAAAUUUAAUGGUUUCUUAGUUACUACACCCAUUUCAUUUGAUAAAACUGACAUUUUAAAAUCUAAAGAACAUAUUAAUACUAUCCAAAAACUUGAAAAUUCAUUUAAUGAUGAACUAGCUCAUUGAGCAGUUCAUUAUAACAUACCUUUAAAUGCUGUUAAUGGUUUACUUUUGGUGCUAAAAAGUCAUAAAUGCUUUUCCUCAUUGUCCAAAGAUAGUAUAACCUUGUUAGGGACAUCUGGUAAUCCAUAUUUGAAUAAGAAUUGUAAAGCCUGGGAUAUAUCACCAUUUAUUUUGCCAAAGGUAUAAAAUUAAAUUAUGAUGAUAGUUUAGUUAAUAACAGUAUUUUAAAAUUAGUUGUAGAUAUUGAUGGUUUACCCUUGGCACAUUUUAGCAAAAGUCAAUUCUGGCCCAUAUUAGCUUAUAUUAGAAAUCAUAAUGUAAAAAAAGUGUUUCCUAUUGGCUUGUAUCAUGGAAAUACUAAGCCUAAAGUAAGUGAUUAUUUUUUGAUAGAUUUUGAUAAUGAAGCUGUGCAUUUAACCAAUAAUGGAUUAAACAUCAAUAAUAAACAUUUUAUUAUUAAAUUUGAUAUCUUUUGCUUAGAUGCACCUGCUAAAAGUUUUAUUUUAAAAAUUAAAAGCCAUAGUGGUUUUAAUUUGUGUACUCAUCUAAUUGAAGGUGAUUAUUUAAACAAUCGUGUGUGUUUUCCAUAUAGUACCACCAAAUCAACACUAAGAAAUAAUUAUGAAUAUCGAAAUGUAGUACACGAAGAAUUUCAUACAUCUUCUACAUCCAUUUUAGCUGAAAUCUCCAACAUUGAAAUAACUCGAUUCUUUAUAUUGGAUUAUAUGCAUCUUACUAAUUUAGGAGUAAUGUGUAAAUUGAUUUUAUUUUGGGUUUUGAAAGGCCCAUCAACUGUACGAUUACCAGCAAGAAAUAUUAAUGAAAUUCUUUCACGAUUGUUGCAUGUUAAAAAAUAAGUACCUGUAGAGUUUCCUAGAAAGCCUUGAGAAAUUUAAGGUAUUUUACAGUGGAAAGCUACUGAACUACGUUUUUUUUUAAUUUAUGCUGGACCUUUUGUCUUAAAAAAUAUAAUUUCAAUGGAUUGCUAUUUUAAUUUUGUCACUUAAUGUUGCCAUGAUAAUUUUGCUAAGUCCAAAUAAAAAAAAAACUACACAGAAUAUGCUCAAGAACUCUUGAACUAUUUUGUUAAAUCAUUUGAUAAAAUUUAUGGUAACUUCAAUGUGUCUCAUAAUGUUCAUGGACUUUUACAUUUGAUUGAUGAUUAUAACAAUUAAUGAAUACAGUUGUUAUCCAUUUGAAAAUUUUAUGAAAGAAUUUAAGUCAGUACUCAGAAAAUGUGAAAAACCAUUGCAGCAAUUUAUCCGUAGAUAUGAGGAGCAAUGCAAUAAUGUAAAGAAAAAUUUAGGUAGUCCUAUUCAGGUGAUAAAUUUUAUAAAAAAAAAUUAUUAAAUGUUUAAAUUUUGCGUGUCAAAAGGUUAGUAAUAAAUUAAUCUCUGUCAUGUCGGUAAAUAUUUUAUUGAUAUAAGUCCAGCUUACUCUGAACCUCUUUUGUGUACUCUACUGGAUAUUUAUAAAAUAAAUAAUAUUUCUGAAAAUUAUAUCGUAGUUGAGGAAAAUAUAAUAAAAUGUAAAAUGAUGGUAAUUACUGUAGCUGACAAAACAAUUGCUAUUCCAGUAAUUCAUACAAUCAUGUAAUGAUGUAUAAUGUACAACACAAUGGAUUUUUAUAUAUUGUGAAUAAAUUAUUUAAAUUAAUUUAUUAUAUUUAUUUUGUUUUUUCAGGUAGAAUAAUUUUUUAUUUACUACACAUUUAUUUAUAUUAAUAUAUAUAAUUGUGUAUUAUUUAUAUUAUGUAAAUUAAAGCAAUCAAAAAUAUUUUUCUAAGUAUAUAAUGAUUAUUUUAUACAUAAAAUAAUCAUUAUAUUAUAAGAUUUUAUAAUCGGAUGAUGAUUGAUAAUCAGUUAGUGUAUAUAAUUUAUCAUGUGUUAUAAAGUUCAUCUUAAAAAUUAUAGUUAGCUAAAUAAUGUGGCAACACUGUCGAAGCAGUUCCAAGUACUUGGCUCAACAAAGUUACAAAUGAAUGUCCUUGGCCUAAUAAAACAAUUAAUUCUACAAAAGCAAUACAAAAUCGUACACUACCUAAUAGUUCAGAUUUUUACUAUUUAAAGGCUAGACAAAUUGGUUCUGCUACUUAUGACUCUUAUGAAUAAGCAAAAAGCAAAGAAAAAAUAGCACAAGAAUCUUCAGAUUUAUCAGAAAUUGAAAAUAUGAAAGAAACGAGAAAAAACAGAGCUAGAAAAGAAUUUUCUCCUUUUCCUAAAAAGGCUCAAGAUAAACCAAAAAUAAAAUCUCACCUUCAACUUCCUAAAUCGUUUAAGAACAUGGUUGUUGCUGAAAAUUCAAGUAAUCAUAUAGAAUAUGAUCAUGUUUCUGAUGAUGACAGUAUAAAAGACCCAGAUUCUAAAUUUAGUUGUAACAUAAUAAAUUCUUAUUACUACCUGUUAUAUUAUAUUUAUUUAUUUUUAUUUAGACCUUAGUCCUUGGAAUCUAUAAAUUUUCCUAUAGAAACAGAGCUCGUUACAGACACGUUGAAUUAUAAUUCAGUAGAUCCUAAUAAAUAUACAUCAUCAAAGAAAAAUUUCCAACCAUCUAGACAGAAGAAAGUAAAAGUACCAUCUGAUAAUGAAGGGUCAUUUUCUGUGGCCAAUACAGAUUAUUCUCUUCUCAUGCUGAGCUCUAACAGAAGUGGUUGUUCUAAGGGAUUAUCUAUCGCUGAUUUUCAGAAACAUGUUGUUGCAGCUUUGACACAUAUUAAGUUUGAUGUUAAUUUAUUGACUUCUACCCAACAAAUUAUUAGUGCUAAUAUUGAAGCUAUUAUGGCACAUACAAAUUAUAGUAGAAAUGAUCUUCCAAUCAACCUAAAUUAUAAUGAUGUUGAUGUCAAUGACAUAUUUCCAAUCAAUACUCAGGAAGAUCUUGAAACAUUUGAAUUUAAGCUAAAGAUAAAUGAAAAUUACUUCAAAAGCAUGCUUGGAGUAAAAUAACUUAUUUUGCUUAACGUAUUAUGGAUACAUAAAUUAAUGCCUUUAAAAUGACAAGAUUUUAUAACAAAACUAGUAGUUCCAUUUUAUAUUAAUUGAUGUAUAAUAGUUAAUAUUAUUAUUACACAACGAAAUUAACAAACUGUUAUUUAUAAUAGUGUUAAAAAAAAUUUUCAUGAAUUUACUAAAGCAAUAUUUAGUUAUUGUAAAAUACAGGACAAUUCUGAUAUUUAAUGAACCAAAAAGCAGAUUUAUUCCAUAUUAUGAUAUUUAUUGGUUUCUUUUAUUUAUCAAUUAUUAUUAAUUAAAUAUUUAUUAAUUUAUAAUUCAUCAAGCAUCUUAUAAUGUAUAGCUUUUUUUAAAAAAUCCUAUCAUUAAUCAAAGUUUUGAGAGGGUACAAAAUUACCAUAACAAAUGUUAUCUUUUCAGUGUUUGAUAAUUUUCCAAAAAACCAGACUUUUAUAAACCUACUUCUUUAAAUAAAAUUAUAGCUAAUACAAUGUACUUUUAGAUGAAAAAAAACUACAAAAUCUUGAUUUCUAGGUGCUGCUGUCCUAUUGAGCAUUAAAACAAAAAAUGGUUUCAUGAAAAUAAAAAAAUUAUUGUUGCUCACAACUGCCAAAAUCUUGGAAAAUCAGUGAGCCGUAUUAUGACAAAAAUGUUUCAUGAUUCAGUAUUAGUUCAUUUCUCAACUUAUAAUUAUAGCGUAUAGAUGCUGAUAUUUUGAAAUGGUAAAUUCGUUUGACAUUGAUAUAACAAUACAUUAUAUUUGACUACUUAUGCUAGUGGACGUAUAUUCGGUAUUCACCCUAUGUCUGGCAAUUAGACAAAUAAUUGGAACCAGGCUUAACAUAUAAUUUUUUAAAAUAAAAUAUGUAUUUUGGUAAACAAAUAAAAUGAAGUCUAAAAAGGCAUUUAAAAGCGCGCGUACUCAUUUUUUAAAAAUACGGUCAUUAAUCGCUCUAUAUAAAACACCCCCAUAUUUAAAUUGAACCAUGUUUACCACGACUAAAAAUAUUUGAAGAAGAACAAAAGAAAAUUGAUGUCCUAGUAUUAACUCUAAAGUAAUUUCAGAGAUAAGAUGGGCAAGUCAGAAACGUGCAGUGGACUUGGUGUACAUAAACUUGCCAGAAAUUGUUAACUCAUUACAGCGAAUUGCUGAUAGAGAACUUCUCAAUACAAAAUUAAAUAUUAUUUCAGAAUAACAAGAAUUGCUUUUUCAAAUGGUGAAUUUUAAAUUUAGUUUUAUGGAAAAAUAUACUUGGAAAAUCAAAUAUUUUAUCAAAUUAGUUACAAAAUUCUAAAAUUGAUAUAAUAACUGCACAUGAUAUGGUUUCAACAUGUUUUUUUAGAUAUUUCAUCUUUCAGAAAUGAGGAACAUAUUUUAAAAAUAAAAUGUAGUGCAAAUGAAUCGUGUGAACAGUUUGGAGACAAAAAUGACUUUGAGCAAGAACGUAUCAAAUUUGGAUAUAUUGAGUAUUGAGAUCAUUAUAGAACAAAAAAUUAACUUUAAUAAUGUAAUAAAUACAUUUACUUUACUACUGGAAAAGCGCAGAAAAAUUAUGUAGAGUUCUAUGCUUUUACAAUAUUUAUUUUCUUUUUCUUUUAUUUUUGUAUAUUAUGAUAAAAAUAAAACUUAAUUCA